AGGGGGGGUGUCGCAGCAAAGAGCUGCAGCAGGACGAGGAGAGAAACAGAACAUGCUGGUUCUGACCCGGUUCCCACAGCAGAACUCGCCAAGAAGACUGUAUCUGAGGUAGACCUGAGCUCGACACCAGAUAAAGUUCUGGUCUGGUCCGGUUUCCCCUGCCGGACCGGCCCGGCCGGGACCAUGGAGUGGAACGAAGUGGACCUGGUGCAGGAGUUCACGGUGGAAGGACAAUGCAGCAAGAUCAAAGUCCGCUCCUGCAGGAUCACCUGGGACAAUCUGCAGGUACUGCAGCCGGGCCGGACCGGGCCUGCGGAACCGGCAGAGUUCUGCUGGACAUCACCACACAUCGACUACACCGGCUGAACUUCUGCUGGCUCCACCAAGAUAAGGAGCCCAGCAGAACCAGACACAGGGUUCUGGAGGAUCAGGAGGUUCCAGAGGGUUCUGGACAUUCUAGAGAUUCUGGAGGGUUCUGGAGAUUCUGGAGGUUCUGAAGGAUUCUAGAGGGUUCUGAAGGGUUCUAGAGGUUCUGAAGGGUUCUGGAGAUUCUAGAGGUUCUGAAAGGUUCUAGAGGGUUGUGAAGGGUUCUAGAGGUUCUGAAGGGUUCUGGAGAUUCUAGAGGUUCUGGAGGGUUCUGAGGGGUUCUGGUGUUUCCAACCACUAAUUUGCUAAACAAAAAUCUUAGCCAUGCUAACAGUAAUCCAUUAAACACUUGAAAAGAAAAUGGCAGAAGCUAAAGCUAAACUGCUACACACAAAAUUAUACUAAACUGCUUACAAAAACAUGCUAAUGCUAAAGUGCUAAUCACAUUAAAGAUUAGCAGAAGCUAAAGCUAACCAUGAUGACUCGCUAGCUGCAGUCCUCAGGUUAUGAUUCUGCCACAUUUUAUAAAGUUCAUCUGUCAUGAAGAUGGGAAACAUCUUAAGGCAAAAAAUGUUUUAAGAGGCUCAAAUAUGUCAGCCAUCUUGAAAAUGCCCUUCAUCCUAAAACUGUAGUGACUGAUGGGAAAUAUGAAAAACAUCAGACCUGAGUGGUUAGCAUGCCUAUGCUUCACCACUAGAGGGAAGUAAAGAGUAGCUCUUCUGGCUAACAGCUAACUGAUCUGAGCUGUAGCAGGAAGAUGAAGUUCAGUGGCCAGGUGCUUCACCUGCAGCAGAACCUCUAACCUGUCCAUGCUGCCAUCGCAUGGUGGCCACAGCAACUGUUUUCAUCAGUGCUGCUGCUCCCAUGAACACCAGGGAAUCACCUUGGUCCCGCAGGUAGAGCUAACCCUCUCUGAGCUCCAGGAAAUGGCCACCAGGCAGCAGCAGCAGAUCGAGGCGCAGCAGCAGAUGCUGAUGG